UUGCUUCUUCCUCUAACGUCUGCGACCUCCCCGACGAAAAUACACCGAAACUUAAAAGCGUCGAUCGAUCUCCAUAAAGUCCCCACCAUCCAUAAAUCCAGUCUGUACUCUGAGUUUUUCCUUGAUUAAUCAACUCCUCCCACCUGAAGCAUUCAAUCUAUCUACCUCUUUAUUUAACAAUCGAUUCUUUUUCAGCUCGCUUCGUCUCGCUUAAUAAUGGAGUUAGAAAGGCAGAUCAAACGAUUGUGAUGCUCUUUUUGGCUGCUGAAUCUCGUGCUCUGUCUGGAAAGUAAGGGAUCUAUUCUGCAAAAGCAUCUUUAGCCAUGCACAUCACCGACCUAAAGAAUCAGGAAAAUACCGGCUGUUGUUGAAUGUGGAGAGACGCAGCUAAGCUAUCUAUGUAAUGAGACGCAAACUCAUGCAGAGAGAUGUCGAGAGAUUGAAGUUGAAACCGUGGAUUGAAUCGGUACGUUCUUGGAUCAAUGUGGGAGUUGAAGCAACUAUUCUUGAACAGGCAGAGAGAUAUGCUACAAACCAGAAACUGAAGAUUUGGGAGAAUUAUGUUAAAGGACAAGAACUAUCAAAUGGAAGUACAGCCUUAGAAACCAAACAAAAAAGACACCUCUGUGAAUAUCUCUCUUCAGCACUACUCAGAUAGUUUUAAUACAUAUGUACUUGGCGGUGGUCGAUUCUAUCUUCAGUCGGUUGGAGACCAGAAACUAGCUUCGAUUCAGAACCAUUUUGCAUCCAUGUGUGUUAAAGAUGAUCCCAUCAUCGCAUCCUUCAACUCUAAGAGAGGUGAUAUCCUUCUUGCACAGUUUCUCCUUGACUACUUUUGGAACCGUGCAAUGAUUGUGAAUGCACCACGAGGAGCUGUUGAGAUGAUACAUUUGAAGUGUUCUACAUCGAUUAUGGAAACCAUGAAGUAGUCCCUAUAGCGCAAUACCACCACUCCACCAGUAGACCCUUCGGUAUCAUUAGCACCAGGGCUUGCUUAGCUCUGGAGACUUGUCUACAUUAAGGUUCCAAGCUUUGUGGUCCUGAAGAAAAAAAUAUCUUCACUUCUGAUUUUGAGAUGAAGAACCGAGACGCCGUAACCUUUCAGAUGAUACCCGCUUCGUCUAAUGCUUGCUGCAAUCAUUCACAUGUUGAUUGGAAUGUUUCACCGACUCGCUCCUCAUUGGCCAUUAGUGACUUAGAAAAAUUGUGAAAACGUUUAAAGAGUAAAUACGAGCUAAAGAGAAAGCAGAGUAAACAUAGUACUUUUUUUUAGCACAUAAUAAACAUAGUAGUUUAUUCUCUUUA